rnacentral:lncRNA from 1 species
ACUCGCCGGAGUCACCGUAUCGAAUUCUGUUAUCAGAGCUGACCAGGAACUGCUGUGAAGAGGGGCAGUGCUGGUUCAGGUCGCCCAGGAUGACGGGUUUGUGUAGGAGUGGCAUUGAAUUUGGAUGCCAUUUCCUUGUGCUUAUGCUGCUCCAUCUCGGCGUGCGCGAAUUAUUCCUGAACGAGACAGAAAUUACAUGGGAGCGUGCUGA